rnacentral:rRNA from 1 species
GAUGAACGCUAGCUACAGGCUUAACACAUGCAAGUCGAGGGGAAACGAUAUUGGAAGCUUGCUUCUGAUAGGCGUCGACCGGCGCACGGGUGAGUAACGCGUAUCCAACCUGCCCAUCACUUGGGGAUAACCUUGCGAAAGUAAGACUAAUACCCAAUGACGUCUCUAGAAGACAUCUGAAAGAGAUUUAAAGAUUUAUCGGUGAUGGAUGGGGAUGCGUCUGAUUAGCUUGUUGGCGGGGUAACGGCCCACCAAGGCGACGAUCAGUAGGGGUUCUGAGAGGAAGGUCCCCCACAUUGGAACUGAGACACGGUCCAAACUCCUACGGGAGGCAGCAGUGAGGAAUAUUGGUCAAUGGACGCGAGUCUGAACCAGCCAAGUAGCGUGAAGGAUGACUGCCCCUAUGGGUUGUAAACUUCUUUUAUAUGGGAAUAAAGUUGUCCACGUGUGGAUUUUUUGUAUUGUACCAUAUGAAUAAGGAUCGGCUAACUCCGUGCCAGC